rnacentral:rRNA from 1 species
AUUGAACGCUGGCGGAAUGCUUUACACAUGCAAGUCGAACGGCAGCACGGACUUCGGUCUGGUGGCGAGUGGCGAACGGGUGAGUAAUGUAUCGGAACGUGCCCAGUCGUGGGGGAUAACGUAGUGAAAAUUACGCUAAUACCGCAUACGAUCUAUGGAUGAAAGCGGGGGAACGCAUGACCUCGCGCGAUUGGAGCGGCCGAUAUCAGAUUAGGUAGUUGGUGGGGUAAAGGCCCACCAAGCCAACGGUCUGUAGCUGGUCUGAGAGGACGACCAGCCACACUGGAACUGAUACACGGUCCAGACUCCUACGGGAGGCAGCAGUGGGGAAUUUUGGACAAUGGGCGAAAGCCUGAUCCAGCCAUUCCGCGUGCAGGAUGAAGGCCCUCGGGUUGUAAACUGCUUUUGUACAGAACGAAAAGGUUUCUACUAAUACUAGGAGCUCAUGACGGUACUGUAAGAAUAAGCACCGGCUAACUACGUGCCAGCCGCCGCGGUAA